rnacentral:rRNA from 1 species
AUUGAACGCUGGCGGCAUGCCUUACACAUGCAAGUCGAACGGCAGCACGGACUUCGGUCUGGUGGCGAGUGGCGAACGGGUGAGUAAUAUAUCGGAACAUACCUUGUAGUGGGGGAUAACUAUCCGAAAGGAUAGCUAAUACCGCAUACGCUCUAAGGAGGAAAGUGGGGGAUCGCAAGACCUCAUGCUAUAAGAGUGGCCGAUAUCUGAUUAGCUAGUUGGUGAGGUAAAGGCUCACCAAGGCGACGAUCAAUAGCUGGUCUGAGAGGACGACCAGCCACACUGGAACUGAGACACGGUCCAGAGUCCUACGGGAGGCAGCAGUGGGGAAUUUUGGACAAUGGGGGCAACCCUGAUCCAGCAAUGCCGCGUGAGUGAAGAAGGCCUUCGGGUUGUAAAGCUCUUUUGUCAGGGAAGAAACGGUUGUGGCUAAUAUCCAUGGCUAACGACGGUACCUGAAGAAUAAGCACCGGCUAACUACGUGCCAGCAGCCGCCGUAACAC